AGACCGUGUGGAAGAAGGAGACACAGAUGAUCCUACAGGAAAGACUGAAGAAGGCAGAGGAGUGCUUCAGACAAGCCAAGGAGAAGGCGACCUACAGUGUCAAACCCAAGCAUGCCUCGGGAAUCAAAGCCAAGCUGGGCAUGAAGAUUUAAGAUUGGUGGACGUCUAUUUUACUGUGGAGCGAGAGAGACGAGGAACAACCAAGUCGGACUGCAUGUACUACUACCGAUGAAUCACUUAGGCUUUAGAACGAGAACCAAAUGACACACUAUUCCCUAUGUAGGGCACUACUUUAGACCAGGGUCCAUAGGGCACAUAGGGCUCUGGUCUAAAGUAGUGCACUACAUAGGGAAUAGGGUGCCAUGUGGGACAUAAGAUACUACUUUUAUUUUUGACUCCAAGCAGCUGUCAGUCUGUCCGUCUCCCGUCCUCCUGCCUGCUCUAUGGGACCGACUCUGCAGGCUUCUGUUAUUAGCUCGUCAGACACACACACAUCAACAUCCAAUCAGAAAGAAGAGGGAAACACCAUGGGGUCAGAGGUCAGAGGAUGUCAUUAUACCAGAACUAUAUAGGAUGUCUUCCACAGGGACAUACUAAAGGAUACCUACUGUAGAGGUACCUGGACUCACCUUCUCCACGGUCCUACCCCCUACUGUAAGAGAUACCUGGAGCCAUCUUCUCCACAGUCCUACCCCCUACUGUAGAGGAUACCUAGGCCACUCUUCUCCACAGUCCUACCCCCUACUGUAGAGGUACCUUGGAGCCACUUCUCCACAGUCCUCACCCCUACUGUAGAGGUACCUGGAGCCAUCCUUCUCCACAGUCCUACCCCCUACUGUAGAGAUACCUGGAGCCACUUCUCCACAGUCCUACCCCUACUGU